UACAGAGGUCUUAAGCGUUGUUCGGAUUCAUUGGGCGUAAAGGGUGCGUAGGUGGCGCCGUAAGUCGGGUGUGAAAUUUCGGAGCUUAACUCCGAAACUGCAUUCGAUACUGCGGUGCUUGAGGACUGGAGAGGAGACUGGAAUUCAUGGUGUAGCAGUGAAAUGCGUAGAGAUCAUGAGGAAGACCAGUGGCGAAGGCGGGUCUCUGGGAAUGUCCUGACGCUGAGGAGCGAAAGUGUGGGGAGCGAACAGG
rnacentral:rRNA from 1 species